AGAUUGAACGCUGGCGGCAUGCCUAACACAUGCAAGUCGAACGGGAGUAGCAAUACUCUAGUGGCGGACGGGUGAGGAAUACGUAGGAAUUUGCCCUUAAGUGGGGGAUAACCCGGGGAAACCCGGAUUAAUACCGCAUGACCUCGAAAGAGCAGAGUGGGGGAUCGCAAGACCUCACGCUUUUGGAGAAGCCUACGUCGGAUUAGCUAGUUGGUGAGGUAAUGGCUCACCAAGGCGACGAUCCGUAACUGGUCUGAGAGGAUGAUCAGUCACACCGG
rnacentral:rRNA from 1 species